rnacentral:rRNA from 1 species
AUGUUCAACUCAUGGCCUGCAUCAACAACUUCAAUCAUAUUUCUUCUCUCUUUAUCGGUCUUUACCCAGAACACCCAUGAGGCUGCCGCCACGCUGCGAGGGGAGCAAGUCGAGGUGCCUAUCCGGGCUGCAAAAAUGCCGGGCAUCACCGACUUGGAUGUUGUGUCCUGCUCGAGCACGUCAUUAAUGGGUGUUGGACAUGGACUCCACAUGGAACACUCUCUUUGCCACAUUAAAGAUGGCCUCAAGCCCCUAUACGGAAGUGUCCAGUCUCGCCGUUCUACCAUUUUCUCUGGAACAACGAUGUACAACUUUGAACACAGACCGCCAAUGCUCCACCUGAGGUACGCAAUUGUACAAUCCACAUGCCAAGCCAUGAGUAAAGUAGCAAGCUAUUCUGUUUUAAAACUUGUUUGGAAGAGCAUGUGUUUUGGGCUUUACACUUCACCAUGA